GACGAACGCUGGCGGCGUGCUUAACACAUGCAAGUCGAACGGCAAGGCCCUGCUUUUGUGGGGUGCUCGAGUGGCGAACGGGUGAGUAACACGUGAGUAACCUGCCCUUGACUUUGGGAUAACUUCAGGAAACUGGGGCUAAUACCGGAUAGGAGCUCCUGCUGCAUGGUGGGGGUUGGAAAGUUUCGGCGGUUGGGGAUGGACUCGCGGGUUAUCAGCUUGUUGGUGGGGUAGUGGCUUACCAAGGCUUUGACGGGUAGCCGGCCUGAGAGGGUGACCGGCCACAUUGGGACUGAGAUACGGCCCAGACUCCUACGGGAGGCAGCAGGGGGGAAUAUUGCACAAUGGGCGGAAGCCUGAUGCAGCAACGCCGCGUGCGGGAUGACGGCCUUCGGGUUGUAAACCGCUUUCGCCUGUGACGAAGCGUGAGUGACGGUAAUGGGUAAAGAAGCACCGGCUAACUACGUG
rnacentral:rRNA from 1 species